rnacentral:rRNA from 1 species
CCCUUAGAUGUCCUGGGCUGCACGCGUGCUACAAUGAUACGUGCAACGAGUUAAUCCUGCUCUGAAAGGAGUGGGUAAUCUUAUGAAUGCGUAUCGUGCUUGGGAUUGACCAUUGUAAUUAUUGGUCAUGAACGAGGAAUUCCUAGUAAGCACAAGUCAUCAGCUUGUGCUGAUUACGUCCCUGCCCUUUGUACACACCGCCCGUCGCUCCUACCGAUUGAGUGUUCCGGUGAAUUAUUCGGACUGCAGCAGUUAUCUGUCGCGGAAAGUCUUGUGAACCUUAACACUUAGAGGAAGGAAAAGUCGUAACA